rnacentral:rRNA from 1 species
AUGAAGAAGGAAGGUGGAAAAACCAAGGCCAUUGCCAGGACAGUUAAGCUACUGUCAAGUAGUACUAUUGAUGAAAGGCACGCGGCUGUCUCUUUGUUGCUAGAGCUUUCAGAGUCUCAGUUAUUGCUGGAGAAAAUUGGGUCAACUGCUGGAAGUAUUCUGAUUCUCACCACAAUGAAGAUUAAUGAUUCUGAUGAUCCAGUUGCUGCUGAGAAAUCUGGAGCAGUCCUCAAGAACCUGGAAAAGUGUCCAAAGAACAUCAAGUACAUGGCCGAAAGUGGCUACCUAGAACCCCUUUGGAGUCAUCUUGUUGAAGGUCCUGAAGAGGUGCAGAUGGAGAUGAUCAGCUACCUAAGCGAGUUGGUCCUAUACCAGGAAGUCACCAUUGAAAUCACGGAGAGCACGUCGGGCGUCCUCAUCAAGAUGGUGCGCAGUUGCAACAAGGUGGUCCAUAAGGCAGCACUCGAUGUGCUGGUCCAGCUUUCCUCGCACCACCCCAACAGCAAGGUGCUCGUUGAGGCAGGUGCUGUCCUGGUCAUGGUCGAGGAGCUUUUCAUAAGGAAGAUAGAUGACGAACCCGAGAGCUACAAGGCCAAGGCUGCCACCGCCCUAGCCAACAUUGUUGAGUCCGGCAUUGAUCCAGACACCACCGUGGUGAACAAGGAAGGCCACGUCCUCACGUCCAAGUAUUGCAUCUAUAACUUUGUGUGCAUGCUCAAGUGCUUCAUACCCGAUGACUUCAACCUCAGCAUCAUCCGCCUACUGCUCGCGCUCACCGCAUUCGCCAAGCCCCUGGAUGUCAUGGUCUCAGUCGUCAGGGAGAACCACCGCGGCCAUGCCAUUGUGGAGCUCAUGAGCUCCCCAAUGGAGGCGCUUAGCAUUGCUGCGACGAGGCUGCUCAUUACUCUGUCUGCGCACAUUGGCCACACCAUCGCUGAGAGGCUCUGCAAGACGCAGGGGCAGCCGGGCAGGCUAGUCAAAAGCAUCAGCCAUGCCAGGCAAAUCACCGAGCGGCAUGCUGCUUCGGUGACACUCCUCUCAAGGCUACCACACCGAAACAUCUCGCUCAACCUUGCGCUGGUGCAGGAGGGCGCCGUGCCGGUUCUGCUGAGCGGGAUAGAAGAGAUGCAGAGCAGUGCAAAGAGAAGGAGCAGGUACGCGGUACAGUACAUGGAGGGCCUGGUGGGCUCGCUGGUGCGGCUCACCGCGACGCUGUACAACCCGACCGUUCUGAAGGAAGUGAUGGACCACAGCUUGGCCUCGGUGCUGACUGAACUCCUCGCCGGAGCUGCCGGAAGCGCUGAGGUGCAGCGGCUCGCCGCCGUGGGGCUAGAAAACCUCAGCUACCAGUCCAUCAAGCUGUCGCAGAUGCCGCCGGAGGAGGACCCACGGCCAAAGAAGAAGACAAUGCUGAAGCGCCUAAUGACCACAAGGGUGCAAGGCAACAAGACCCUCCAACACCAACAACCCGUCUGCCCGGUGCACCGGGGAGUCUGCUCCACGGUGACAUCCUUCUGCCUCCUCGAGGCCGGGGCCGUCGAGGGUCUCCUCGGCUGCCUCGAGAGCGACAGCCCCCGGGUCGUGGAGGCGCGCUGGGAGCAUUGUGCACGCUCGUCAACGACCGGGUGGACGUGGAGAGGAGCGUGUCCGCCCUCGCGGAGCUGGACGCCCCUCGGCGCGUGCUCGGGGCGCUGA